AGACAAUUGACCUAUUACAGAAUCACAAAACAAGGAAAUACAAAAAAUAAACAUGAAAUUUUUACAUAACAUGAAAAUACAAUCAACAUAUAAAGUAUCACAAAGAAUGGAAAUUAUACAAUUAAAACUUUACUUGUUUAAAUGCCCCUGUCUGAAUGUAUUAAUUUGGCACAAGCAGGUAUAAAAAAAGAAGAAUAUUCACGAAAACAGCUACCUUCAAUAAAAAUAUAUAAAAGUUUUGUUUGAUUGUCAAGAUUGUUAACAGCUUCUACUAUCAGUAUAAAAAAUCGUCUUAAUUUACAUAAUGAUCAGUUUUAGAAUUAAAAACUAUAAUUUAACACUAUGAAUUCUAUUUACACUUUGCCUCUGCCUGGAAAAUCUAAAAGUACAUUAAUUUUGCAAAAUUUAGAAGUGGUAGUGCUCCUUUAAACAUUGGGACUUGAUGGUAUUUAUGUCUUUUAGUUGAAAAGAUAGUUUGUUUUAACAGAAUCUGUAAUGCAAAUCUUUUAUUAAAGAUGAAAAUAGGUAUCAAGGAAAUGUCAAGUGAAUGAAUAUUUGUGUUGUUAUUUCUUUUAUCCAGCAUAUUUAUGUAAUGUAAAUAUUAUGCAUUUGUCUGAUGAACAUAAAUCUAUAACUUUAUUUAAAAAAUUAAAAUACGUACUUUUAUACUACUUCAACCUGAAAUGACAUCCCAUUGAUCAAAACAUUUAUUGUAAAGUGUGAUUUUAAGUAUACAUAUGAUGCAAAUUUGUUAUUCUGCUAUCUUUAUUUUACUCAGUUGUUAGUAGUUUUAAAUUUACUACUUGUUAAAGAUGAGUGAUAGUUGAAGCCUUGAAAUAAACAUUUAGGAAAAAUUAAAACUAUUUUU
rnacentral:lncRNA from 1 species